rnacentral:lncRNA from 1 species
CUACUUCAUUGCUCACAUGUGAGGGUCAUUGUUGAUAUCUGCCCCGGGCCCUCUCUGCAGCGAUCUGUGCCACUGUGGGCCUGCUACUGAGCACGUGCAAGCCUAUGGCUGGAGUUGUAGAGCUCCUCUGAGCACCAAUGACGUGAGCCGGUUUCCUCAGGAUAGACGACAGCAGGCCUCUCAGCCAGGGGAGUUGAAAAACGACAAAAACAUCCUCUCCCUCCAUACCUGCCCCCGGCCGUGGCCUUGUCCCCUUCCAUGCUCCGAUGCUUGUUUGCAGGAAGGCCAGGUUUCCUGUGUGAUGGAGGAGAGGGGGAUGGGGGGGAUGAGGGAGAGGGGAAGAGGGAUGGGUGGUAGGGCUUCUACACGUAGAGACUGUACAGAUUGACUUUAUGUUUUAGCUGUGUGUGGAUGUUGACGUUCUAUGUAGUUUCCUGUGCAGGUGAAGCUUGUUGAUAUCCAUGAAGACAAUACACAGUAGUUGUGGAGGUGGGGGAGGAAAGACAAUGGGACUAAGGAGCAGAGCAGCCUUCUUCUACAUGGAGAACCAUAGUGAGACUCGGUUCUGGAUUACUGAUCCGCUGAUCUGACCAUUUGCUGUAGAAUGGGACCCUCAAACCACAAGACUUUACUUAAGAGGCUGAGUUAGCUGUCCUGUCUUUGGAUGGACCCUCAUCUUAUUGGCUACCCAUUAUUGGCCACCCGAAUGGGUGUGGUCGUAGUGGAGGAAACUGAUGAGAGCGACCAAUGGUAUGAAGACUUCCAGUGUUGGCUCUCCUCAGGUGAGAGGGGCCCCCAGUCCAGCCCCGUCACCCCCCACCGCAACCCUGUGACCCCUCAGCCCAGCCCUGUGUCAUCAGAAGGGGACGAACCUGGACAAGGGAGGAAGGUGUCUUUCUUUGAUGAUGUCACUGUCUAUGUGUUUGAUCAGGAGAGUCCCACCAGGGAGCUACAAAGUCACUGGCCAGAGACCAACAGCAAAGAGACCAAGGGUCAAUCUCCAAUACCAAUUUACAGACACACACCUGAGACCAAUGAUCAAGCCCCAAUCCCGCGCUGCAGCUAUGUCAACCAUAUACCUCACAUGGCAACCUCAGGGGUCUGCUUAAAGGACAAUGGUCAUGGUUUAGAAUGGGAGGAUGACUUCUCCUUCUUGGACAGCUCCCUCAAAACCAAGAUGGCCGAUCACCAUCUAAUAAUAUCAGAAUCCAGUAUAUUUUCCGCAUCCCCCCACCAGACCUCCACAUCCUCACACCAGAGGUGGAGUUGUCCAUCCACCCAUGCCUGCUCACAGUUGAGACCUUCUAGUCUGGUCCUCACCCACGUCACUGAUGCUGACCUGGAGCAGUAAGCCCAGUAUCCGCCACUGGGGCUGAGGAGAUGGAGGCCUAACAGCGUGUUUGCUGAAGGAAGACAAUGUGAUGGAAGACAAAUCUCCAGAUAAACAGAAGAACAGAAGAGCUCAACAGUGGGACCUUGCUGUUUCACCACUAGUAAACACUACACAUACUCCCUUUACAUUCUAUGGGCCUGACUAAGGGUCCAACUGCAGGGCUGAUAUACCAUCCCUUUUCAGGCUACUGUACCACCAAGAGUCAGUUGUUUACCUUUCAGGGCUGUGCCUGUCUCCCAAUAAGGAUUAGCCUACGACACGUUAACAAUAACAGAGGGCUCUGAUGAUCAGAACAUAGCAAUGGUGACCUGAUAAUCCUACAUUGAAUAAAUGGGUUCCAACAAUGGGAAUCUUUUGAUUCACUCGUAAAGUAUUUGACAGCCUGCAUAUUUAAAAUGUAAGAACAUUUUCAUCAGGUUUUUCAUCAGCUAACUACUGUACUGAUAAGAGCUUGAUGUUGAAAAUAAAACAUUUCUGCAGUCUUCAUUUGAUUUGUUUCCCCUUGCCUAUCGUGAAACGUAUCUCAGUGAUAAGUAAUACCAUGCUGCAACAAUAGGUCACGCACACACUAAACGCGACUUCAAAUAUAUAUAUGUGUUUUUUGAUGAGCUACUUGGAGGGAUUCAGAAAAUUAAUGGGCGGGUGCAUGGAGUGGACUGAUACAUGUGGGAAGCCUCCAGUUGAUUUUGACCAAUGAAGCCAUAGUUUUAGCCCUGUUUAUACUUGGUUCUAACAUGCGCGAUUUGUCGGUCAUGUCUAGACAGGAUACAGCUUUUGUCAAAUUGACCGCAAAGUAGAUUUUUUUGGGGCGUUUUAGAUAACCCAUUUCCUAACCUUAAGCUGAUUCUUCUAACCUGCUACGUUCAUUCUCCUAAACUGCUGCAUAGGUUCUACUAAACUGCUGCAUAGGUUCUACUAAACUGCUGCAUAGGUUCUACUAAACUGCUGCAUAGGUUCUACUAAACCUGCUACAAAAAGAAAAUUGUGACAAAAGCUGUAUCCCUUCUAGACAAAACCUAAUUUGUCCUGCUCUUGUCCAAAAUCUAAUUGUGCCCACAUUUUAAAGACAGGUGUCGACUUUUAAAAUACACAUUUUGAUAUGAUUGUCAUUUAAUCUUACUGACCACCUCUGGAGUGGUCUUUCAAAUACUUUUCAUAAUUUGCAUACAGGGACCAGGAUAUCUGGUCACAAUGCGGAGACCGUGGAUGGACCUAGAGAGAUACAUUUUACUACCAUGUGUCUAUCAGAGGAGGCUGGUGGGAGGAGCUAUAAUGGCUGGAAUAGAAUAAAUGGAAUGUGUCAAAGUUGUAGUUUCCAUAUAUUUGAUGUGUUUGAUACUGUUCCCAACUAUUCCAUUCCAGCCAUUACAAUGAGCCGGUCCUCCUAUAGCUCCUCCGACCAGCCUCCUCUGGUGUAGCUGCAAAGGCUUCAAUGUGGGCACAAUCAGAAUGUUGAUAAGACCAGGACAAAUGAAGCAUGUUAGCUUCAUAGCCUCAGAUGUAAACGAGGCUUUUGGCUACGCACGGGCACAGAUGACCACGUCCGGAGUCUGAGCGCACUCCCAUUGGCUAAGCGAGCGCAACGUGUACAUUACAGCAGCGACAGGUACCUCACAUGCGACAGUUAUCUUUCAUCCUUGGAGCAGAACGACAGACGCUUCUUCCACUCAACCGAAACUUUAAUUCUGAGGAUAUUAUUGAUGUUUCACGUUGAAAACUAUUCUUCUACAUACACAGGCAUCUUACUUUCAUUUUUAAAGGUAACUAACAUGUCAAUUUGUUGUCUAUUCCUUUUCUCUUUAUUGAAAUCCAAUGAAGUUGUAUUAAUUUGAGAUGUUCACUGUUUUCCUCAACUUGAUGAAGGCUAACUAUUUCCUUUCUGUAAAUGAUUGGUGAGCGUGGGAGAAAGAGAGUAUGAGAGAGUCACAACAUUUAUUCAUACAGUAGGGGAGACCGGGGAACAAAGUGACAAUGCUAAUGCUUGAUUAGUGUCUCUACAAGCCUAAAACGUUUGGUUUAAAUCCAAUUAUUGACAAAGAAUGGGUUUCGAGGCCCUAAAGUAAAUAUACUUGCCACCUCUCUUUUUAUAAGUGUAUUAUUGACUUGUAGAACAUUCUCCAUGCAUCUAAACAUACAAUCAGGUUCAAAAUGAUUGGCACUCUUGAUAAAGAUGAGCAAAAAAAUCAUGUAUGAAAUAAAUCAUACAAAUUGUAUGCAAAAAAAUGAAAUUAUAUUAUUUUAUACUAAUACAAUUGCUCAGAGAAAUGUUUUUUUUUAAUGAACAAGUAAUAUUUUUUUCUAAAAAAGAUUGACACCCAUGUUUUCAAUACCUUUUAAUACCUCAUCUUGCAAGGAUGAUGGUCCUGAGCCUUUUUCUAAUAUGUUUUAUGAGAUUGGAGAACACAGUGUGAGGAAUUUAAGACCUUUCCUCCUUACAGAAUCUUUCCAGAUCCUUGAUAUCCUUCGUCUGCCCGUAUGGACUGCCUUCUUCAAUUCAAACCACAGGUUUUCAAUGGGGUUCAAGUCCGGAGACUUUGUGGUCAAUUAAACAUUUCUUUGUGGAUGUUGUUGUGUGCUCGGGGUUAUUGUCUUGCUGGAAGAUCCACUUGAGGCCAUGUUUCAGCCUCCUGGCGGAGCCAAGCAGGUUUUUGGCUAAAAUGUCCUGGUACUGGGUUCAGAACUAAGAUAAUAACUUCAGAAAAAGGUCAAAUGUAUACGUUUAUAUAAAAUAGGCUUUAUUAUAUUGAUACACUGAGUUCAAUAUGACAUGCCUUAAAAAUGCACUGGAAAUAUGUGUUGUCAAUUUAGGGCUAGAUUCAAUCAGUUCUGCCUAAACUUGCGAUAACUGGCAACUGCAUAUCAAUUUCAUUGUUUUUAUUUAAGGGAUGUCAGAGGUGUAACUGCGUUGGAGCUGUCAAAUCAGCAGACGGCUCCCCGCAUAAUACCUAACGCAGACAUUGCCAUUGGAUGCGCCAAGUCGCAUUAGUAACAAUCCCAGCAUUGUUGCAAGUUCGAACACUUUAAUAUAUGUUGUAAUCUACACUUCGAUUAGGCUGAUAUACGUAUUAAUACUUUAAAAAAAUGGAGACCUUGAAAGGUGCUAUAUAAGUCCCAUGUAUUAUUAUUAGUGUAUUCACCUGUUACCAUGGUACAUGAAUAGCAUCUGAUGAAGCAUAACAGUAUAGACAGCAGGGGUUCAAACUGUAGAACCCAGUUCCUACAUUUGAAUAUAAAAAUGUAUUUUAUCAAACAAAACUUUGCUACAUUUGAUCUCUGGGACCCUGAGGAUGACAAAUCAGAGCAAGAUUUCUGAAUGUAAGUACAUUAUUUACCUUCAGAGGUGAAUGUAUCAAACCAGUUGCCGUGAUAGGUUUUGUUGUUGUGCACUGUCCUCAAAUACAGUGCCUUGCGAAAGUAUUCGGCCCCCUUGAACUUUGCGACCUUUUUCCACAUUUCAGGCUUCAAACAUAAAGAUAUAAAACUGUAUUUUUUUGUGAAGAAUCAACAACAAGUGGGACACAAUCAUGAAGUGGAAC